rnacentral:misc_RNA from 1 species
GUUUGUAUGCCCAGAGUAUUUCAAGUCUGAUUUCGUAUACCGGACUUUGUGGUUGCAGGAUAGCCCAUCAGAAGAUAUUACUAGUAUUCUCUAUGAUGUUUUUGACUACUUUGAAGAUGUCAGGGAGCAACAUGGGAAGGUUUUUGUUCAUUGCUGCCAAGGGGUCUCUCGGUCAACCUCGUUGGUUAUUGCUUAUCGUAUGUGGAGAGAAGG